GCGGGUGUAGUACAAUGGUUAGUACACGUGCUUGCCAAGCAUGAUAUGACGGUUCGAUUCCGUUCACCCGCU
rnacentral:tRNA from 1 species